UGAAUAAGACGACAUGGCGUGGUGUUGUUUCGGCUCAUGCCCUCCAAUUCCUGGGGCGGUGAAUCGCCAAGGCACACGGGAGAGAUGAGCCGAACCAAUAUCACUCAUGUAUUCUUCAUU
rnacentral:pre_miRNA from 1 species